CCUCUGCGCUUCUGCCAAUGCUGUUCCCUGUGGAAUCCCUCUCCCUGCUGGCCCCCUGGUGAACAUCUGUCUCUUCUCCAUUUUCACUGCAAGUUUUACAUCCUCUAACAAUUCAUCUCUAAUUCCUCUUCACUUCCAGAUCCAGACUUUCCAGGUAGAGUUCACUACUUCUCCCACUGUGACCUGUUCCUUGUAUAGACAACUACAUUUGCACUCGAACCACUUUAUUAUGUAGAGGUUAAGGACACAGGCUUAGAAGUUUGAUAGGCUUAGUUUUUAGCUCUGACUGUGCCUCUCUAAAUCCCAGUUUCCUCAUCUAUAAUAUUGGGACAAUAAUAAAAACCCAAAUAGGACUGACAAAAGGAUUUAACAGGAAAGGGGCAUGCAGUCAUUAUUUAUUGCCGCAUAGCAAAGUACCCCCAAAUGCAGUCGGGGUACCAACAAUAAACAGUGUCCCCACAGUUUCUGUGAAUCAGAAAUUUGAGUGUCUAGCUCCGAGUGGUUUGAGUUGGGUCAUUCCCACAGUGGAGCAGUCACGGUGGUAGCUAGGGCUAGAGUCUUCUGGAGGCCUGACUGAGGCUGGAGGCUGUGUUUCCAAGGUGGCCCAGUCAUGUGGCUGUAGGCAGCAGCUUUCAGUUCCUCCCCAUGGGACGGGACUUGAGUGUCUUUAUUACAUGGCAGCGGAUUCCCAUAGAGUAAGUGAUCCAAGAGAAAGCAAGGUGGAAGCUGCGAUGUCAUUUAUAUCUGAGCCUCGGAAGUCACACACAGUCAUUUUCACAAAUCCUAUUAGUUACACAUGUCAGCCCUUGUCAGUGUAGAAGGGACUACACAAGCAUAGGAAUACCAGGAGGUGAGGAUCACUGGGAACCCUCUUAGAGGCUGGCUACCACAAGUUCCUAGGCUAAAGUUUAACAAAAGUGUAUUAUAAAGGCUCAAGAAGCAGUCUUUGCUAUCAUUAUUAAUUCAUACAUGAGUAUUCCUUAUUAGAAAAUAAACCCCCGUAGGUCAGAAAUGAUGUCUUGGGGCUGUUUGUAUUCUAAGUGCCUGCGGUAUAUGCGGUAUAUGCAGGUCCACGCUAAAUGUUGAACAUAAGAAUGGAGCCUUGUUAGUCUGGUGGCAGGCUCAGAGUGAAUGGGGAAGGAACUCACACAGAGAUGUUAAGUAGGAUUCUGCAACUCAGCCAUGUUACUGGAAAUACCCACUGUAUAAAAUCAAAUCCUGACAGUUUCUCACUUUUUUUUUUCCUUUGGUGGUGCUGGGGAUGGAACCCAGGGCCUUGUGCAUAGGAGGCAAACACUCUAGCAACCGAACUAUAUCCCCAGCCCCAGUAUUAAGAAUGUUGGAUACCAAAGCGGCAAGCAGGGCAGGGGUAUGUCUUAUGAUUCUCUUUGGAAAAGAGGCUCCGAGUGGCAUUUUGGUAGGGAACAAUAGUCCCAACUCUGUGAUCUAGAGAGUGACUCCACUGCUCUUUAAUUCCCUGGGCCAAGGUAGACAUGGAAGCCUCUUGAUAUUUUUGUUAUAUUCAAAUCCCUGUGUUGAUGGCUCUUUUCUAGAAGAAUUUCUCCUUCUAGAAGACUCCGAUGUGCAUUUUCUUAGUGUUCAUGCAAAGGUGCACAGAGUUUCAUGUCAGAGUUCUGCCCAGCUACUGUGGCCCUCUAAGAAGACUGGGGUGUGAGUCUGCAAGGUAACUGAUAGCCUGGGCAAUAUUGAGUUUCUAGCUGUCUAGCUCAGACUGGAACUUUGCUCCUACCCCUCCGGGCUUGAAAGUUCACCAAUUGUCCUUUUCCCUCAGACAGAGCCCUCUGUGCUUAUUGGUGCUGUGCUCCUGUGCCCCACUUCCCAACAUGUCGUACUCCCUUGAGGCUGCCCCUUCAGGAGCCACACAAAGAGCCUGGAGGGGCAGGUGUCCUCUCAGAGAUUUCCCAUGUAGAUCAAUUUCCCACUUGCCAGAGGUCUCAUUUCUCCCCGGUUCCUUGAAAUCCUAAACAAGUGACUUUAAUUGUCUUUUUCCUUCCUUAAAGCUAGAGGGACUGGGGUGAGACAGGGAAAAAUCUCCUGUUGGAGUGGAGGGAGCUUUGUUGCACUGAACAUUAUUUUGCCUCUGGAUAAUAAAAAGAAGAUUGUGGCAUGCAAAUUAUGGAUGGGAGCCAGACAAUAUUUAAAUUAUAUCUAAAUCAAACCAGGUCACCAAGAGGGAUUCUGAAAGGAAAUUAAAAAUGCUUAUUGAUUAAAAUAAAAAAAUUCCAUAAUUGAGCCUCUUGCAAACAAUAUUACAUAUCGGGGGCCAUUGUAAUCCAAGGCAACUGAACUCUGGACUGACCUUUUUGAAGGAACUUCUUUUAUGGUAUCUACUUCACCUUCCAUUAGGAUUUAACCAGGAGAGAACAUUCUUAAUAGAGAUAGCAUUGAGAUAUAUGGCCAGUGGGAGAGUUGGGAACUUAUGCAUGAGUUUUUUUUUUUUUUUUUUCUUUUGGUAGUGAGAACUGAACUAAGGGGUGCUCUACCACUGAGCUACAUGCCCAGCCCUAUUUAUUUUUUAUUUUGAGACAGGGUCUUGCUAAGUUGCUGAGGCUGGACUUGAACUUGUGGUCUUCCUGCAUUAGUCUCUAAAAUCAUUGGGAUUACAAAUGUGUGCCACCCUGCGGAUGCUGGGCAGCAUGAGUUCUCUGAGUGUGAGAUCAAGGUGACAGAGCUGGGCAAAUGUGACUAUUGAUUUUCAAAUCCCCCUUCCACAUAGCUGUGGAGAGAAUUGUGUCAUUACUGUUAGAAAACCCAGCCAAAGUGUUCCCUUGGAGACGGAAACACAAAAUAAGUUUUUAAGAAACAUUUUUUGGGGGGAGGUGUCAAAAGAAUGUUAACAAGAUAGUUGAUUAAGUUAUACAACAAAGUUAAAAAUA
rnacentral:lncRNA from 1 species